rnacentral:tRNA from 1 species
GGUUCUAUGGUCUAACGGUUAGGACGUUGCCCUCUCACGGCAGAGAUUGGGGUUCGAUCCCCCAUAGGACUACCA